UCUCCGUAGGUGAACCUGCGGAGGGAUCAUUACAGAGUUCAUGCCCUAACGGGUAGAUCUCCCACCCUAUGUUAUCAUCACUUUGUUGCUUUGGCGGGCCGUCAGGCCUCGGCUUGGCUACCGGCUCUCGCUGGUAAGCGCCCGCCAGAGAACCCCAAGCCCUGAAUAUCAGUGUCGUCUGAGUACUAUAUAAUAGUUAAAACUUUCAACAACGGAUCUCUUGGUUCUG
rnacentral:misc_RNA from 1 species